rnacentral:siRNA from 1 species
AGGAAGGUGCAAUGCUCAUCUCA